rnacentral:rRNA from 1 species
AUUGAACGCUGGCGGCAUGCUUUACACAUGCAAGUCGAACGGUAACAGGCCGCAAGGUGCUGACGAGUGGCGAACGGGUGAGUAAUGCAUCGGAACGUGCCCAGUCGUGGGGGAUAACGCAGCGAAAGCUGCGCUAAUACCGCAUACGAUCUAUGGAAGAAAGCGGGGGACCGUAAGGCCUCGCGCGAUUGGAGCGGCCGAUGGAAGAUUAGGUAGUUGGGGGGGUAAAGGCUCACCAAGCCAACGAUCUGUAGCUGGUCUGACAAGACGACCAGCGACACUGAGACUGAGGCACGGCCCAGACUCCUACUGGAGGCAGCAGUGGGGAAUUUUGGACAAUGGGCGCAAUCCUGAACCAGCAAUGCCGCGUGCAGGAAGAAGGCCUUCGGGUUGUAAACUGCUUUUGUACGGGACGAAACGGCUCUCACUAAUACUGGUGGCUAAUGACGGUACCGUAAGAAUAAGCACCGGCUAACGACGUGCCAGCCGCCGCGGUAACAC